rnacentral:rRNA from 1 species
GGUUAAGCGACUAAGCGUACACGGUGGAUGCCCUGGCAGUCAGAGGCGAUGAAGGACGUGCUAAUCUGCGAUAAGCGCCGGUAAGGUGAUAUGAACCGUUAUAACCGGCGAUUUCCGAAUGGGGAAACCCAGUGUGACUCGUCACACUAUCAUUAACUGAAUCCAUAGGUUAAUGAGGCGAACCGGGGGAACUGAAACAUCUAAGUACCCCGAGGAAAAGAAAUCAACCGAGAUUCCCCCAGUAGCGGCGAGCGAACGGGGAGGAGCCCAGAGCCUGAAUCAGCAUGUGUGUUAGUGGAAGCGUCUGGAAAGGCGCGCGAUACAGGGUGACAGCCCCGUACACAAAAGCGCAUGUGCUGUGAGCUCGAUGAGUAGGGCGGGACACGUGGUAUCCUGUCUGAAUAUGGGGGGACCAUCCUCCAAGGCUAAAUACUCCUGACUGACCGAUAGUGAACCAGUACCGUGAGGGAAAGGCGAAAAGAACCCCGGCGAGGGGAGUGAAAAAGAACCUGAAACCGUGUACGUACAAGCAGUGGGAGCACAGGUUUACCUGUGUGACUGCGUACCUUUUGUAUAAUGGGUCAGCGACUUAUAUUCUGUAGCAAGGUUAACCGAAUAGGGGAGCCGGAGGGAAACCGAGUCUUAAUUGGGCGUUAAGUUGCAGGGUAUAGACCCGAAACCCGGUGAUCUAGCCAUGGGCAGGUUGAAGGUUGGGUAACACUAACUGGAGGACCGAACCGACUAAUGUUGAAAAAUUAGCGGAUGACCUGUGGCUGGGGGUGAAAGGCCAAUCAAACCGGGAGAUAGCUGGUUCUCCCCGAAAGCUAUUUAGGUAGCGCCUCGUGAAUUCAUCUCCGGGGGUAGAGCACUGUUUCGGCUAGGGGGCCAUCCCGGCUUACCAACCCGAUGCAAACUGCGAAUACCGGAGAAUGUUAUCACGGGAGACACACGGCGGGUGCUAACGUCCGUCGUGAAGAGGGAAACAACCCAGACCGCCAGCUAAGGUCCCAAAGUCAUGGUUAAGUGGGAAACGAUGUGGGAAGGCCCAGACAGCCAGGAUGUUGGCUUAGAAGCAGCCAUCAUUUAAAGAAAGCGUAAUAGCUCACUGGUCGAGUCGGCCUGCGCGGAAGAUGUAACGGGGCUAAACCAUGCACCGAAGCUGCGGCAGCGAACGUAUCACUUAAAGCGAUUCAGCGGGUUACGAUUGACGGAGCGAAGCGACGUCAAAGCGUAUACAAAGUCGAGUCGGUUUAAGGAUACGUUCGUUGGGUAGGGGAGCGUUCUGUAAGCCUGCGAAGGUGGCCUGUGAGGGUUGCUGGAGGUAUCAGAAGUGCGAAUGCUGACAUAAGUAACGAUAAAGCGGGUGAAAAGCCCGCUCGCCGGAAGACCAAGGGUUCCUGUCCAACGUUAAUCGGGGCAGGGUGAGUCGACCCCUAAGGCGAGGCCGAAAGGCGUAGUCGAUGGGAAACGGGUUAAUAUUCCCGUACUUGGUGUUACUGCGAAGGGGGGACGGAGAAGGCUAUGUUGGCCGGGCGACGGUUGUCCCGGUUUAAGCGUGUAGGUGUGUGUUCCAGGUAAAUCCGGUUCACUUUAACACUGAGGCGUGAUGACGAGGCACUACGGUGCUGAAGCAACAAAUGCCCUGCUUCCAGGAAAAGCCUCUAAGCAUCAGGUAACAUCAAAUCGUACCCCAAACCGACACAGGUGGUCAGGUAGAGAAUACCAAGGCGCUUGAGAGAACUCGGGUGAAGGAACUAGGCAAAAUGGUGCCGUAACUUCGGGAGAAGGCACGCUGACACGUAGGUGAAGUGAUUUACUCAUGGAGCUGAAGUCAGUCGAAGAUACCAGCUGGCUGCAACUGUUUAUUAAAAACACAGCACUGUGCAAACACGAAAGUGGACGUAUACGGUGUGACGCCUGCCCGGUGCCGGAAGGUUAAUUGAUGGGGUCAGCGCAAGCGAAGCUCCUGAUCGAAGCCCCGGUAAACGGCGGCCGUAACUAUAACGGUCCUAAGGUAGCGAAAUUCCUUGUCGGGUAAGUUCCGACCUGCACGAAUGGCGUAAUGAUGGCCAGGCUGUCUCCACCCGAGACUCAGUGAAAUUGAACUCGCUGUGAAGAUGCAGUGUACCCGCGGCAAGACGGAAAGACCCCGUGAACCUUUACUAUAGCUUGACACUGAACAUUGAGCCUUGAUGUGUAGGAUAGGUGGGAGGCUUUGAAGUGUGGACGCCAGUCUGCAUGGAGCCGACCUUGAAAUACCACCCUUUAAUGUUUGAUGUUCUAACGUGGACCCGUAAUCCGGGUUGCGGACAGUGUCUGGUGGGUAGUUUGACUGGGGCGGUCUCCUCCUAAAGAGUAACGGAGGAGCACGAAGGUUGGCUAAUCCUGGUCGGACAUCAGGAGGUUAGUGCAAUGGCAUAAGCCAGCUUGACUGCGAGCGUGACGGCGCGAGCAGGUGCGAAAGCAGGUCAUAGUGAUCCGGUGGUUCUGAAUGGAAGGGCCAUCGCUCAACGGAUAAAAGGUACUCCGGGGAUAACAGGCUGAUACCGCCCAAGAGUUCAUAUCGACGGCGGUGUUUGGCACCUCGAUGUCGGCUCAUCACAUCCUGGGGCUGAAGUAGGUCCCAAGGGUAUGGCUGUUCGCCAUUUAAAGUGGUACGCGAGCUGGGUUUAGAACGUCGUGAGACAGUUCGGUCCCUAUCUGCCGUGGGCGCUGGAGAACUGAGGGGGGCUGCUCCUAGUACGAGAGGACCGGAGUGGACGCAUCACUGGUGUUCGGGUUGUCAUGCCAAUGGCACUGCCCGGUAGCUAAAUGCGGAAGAGAUAAGUGCUGAAAGCAUCUAAGCACGAAACUUGCCCCGAGAUGAGUUCUCCCUGAGACUUAGAGUCUCCUGAAGGAACGUUGAAGACGACGACGUUGAUAGGCCGGGUGUGUAAGCGCAGCGAUGCGUUGAGCUAACCGGUACUAAUGAACCGUGAGGCUUAACCUU